GUAGGUGGCGAGCGUUGUCCGGAAUUAUUGGGCGUAAAGCGCGCGCAGGCGGGUUCUUUAAGUCUGAUGUGAAAGCCCACGGGCUCAACCGUGGAGGGUCAUUGGAAACUGGAGAACUUGAGUACAGAAGAGGAAAGCGGAAUUCCACGUGUAGCGGUGAAAUGCGUAGAGAUGUGGAGGAACACCAGUGGCGAAGGCGGCUUUCUGGUCUGUAACUGACGCUGAGGCGCGAAAGCGUGGGGAGCAAACAGGAUUAGAUACCCUGGUAGUCCACGCCGUAAACGAUGAGUGCUAAGUGUUAGGGGGUUUCCGCCCCUUAGUGCUGCAGCUAACGCAUUAAGCACUCCGCCUGGGGAGUACGGCCGCAAGGCUG
rnacentral:rRNA from 1 species